rnacentral:rRNA from 1 species
UACGGGGGGGGCAAGCGUUGUUCGGAAUUACUGGGCGUAAAGGGUUUGUAGGUGGCCAACUAAGUCAGACGUGAAAUCCCUCAGCUUAACUGGGGAACUGCGUCUGAUACUGGUUGGCUUGAGUGCAGGAGAGGAACGCGGAAUUCCAGGUGUAGCGGUGAAAUUCGUAGAUAUCGGGAGGAACACCAGUGGCGAAGGCGGCGAUCUGGGUCGAUACUGACGCUGAGGUGCGAAAGCGUGGGGAGCAAACAGG